GGAAUGCAUUAGUGAGAUCGUGAGGUCCUGGAGAUUUCUUUUUCAUUCUUGGAGAAUGACUAGUUCUGAACAGUAAUGUUUUUCCUUCUCAUCAUUUUACUCUAUUAAUUCAGGUUUGGAUGAAGGGACCAACGGGACUGCCACGGGCAAGUCCCUUGACGGGUACCAGAAAUGGUGGAAGGACAAUCUGAAGAAGACCUGAGUCCUAGGACCAUGCCUCAUGACUACCUGGUCUGAUGACUCCUUGCUGUCCCCAGUCCACCUGGUCAUGCUGCUGCUUUUCUAGGGAGUUUUUCCUAGCUACCGUGCUUCGACAUCUGGAUUGCUUGCUGUUUGGCGUUUUAGGCUGAGUUUCUGUACAGCACUUUGACAUCGGCUGAUUUAAAAAGGGCUUUAUAAACACAUUUGAUUGAUAACUGAAAGCCCUCCAAACCAUGAUAAUAUAUAUUUUCCAAAUAAUUGCAUAUAUUCAAAUAUAUUUAUUUAUUUAAUAUAUAUAUUUAUAUAUAUACCUUCAAAUAUUAUUUAUCAUUCUGAGAGGUAUUCAAAAUACUUUCAAAUAUUAUUUGUUUUUCUGAGACCUGUAUUUGAAUUUC